rnacentral:lncRNA from 1 species
AGUUUCAGACUUUUCCCUUCCCCAGCCCCUGUUCCCCCAAAUCUGCGAUGUUUAUCGGCUAAUCCACCGGCGCCGCGCGACGUCGCUGACUUUCCUCAGUUCCCAUCGGCGCACAAUUCCCGCUGGCGGAUCUUACCCACGUCGCCGGUCUACCGCACCUGAGCGCCUCCGCCUCUUUCCUCGGCUAAUCCACCGGCGAGUCCCUUCGGCCUUUACUCGCCUCCGAGCUCCGACGGCGGCGGAUCGGCGGUCGAGAAAGCGAGUCCCAGGCAGCCUGCGUGUGAGCGAGCCUGCGACCUGCCCUUCCCAUCGGUGUCUUCCCUCCAUCCCACAUUGUAGACGCCUCAAUUAAUUAAGCCCUCAAUUUUUAGGGCUUGAAAUUUUUUAUGUCGCAUUUUGCUGCUGUAUUUUUGUGUAAAUUGUCCUUUACCAUGGCUGAAUUAUGAAUGAUUUUGUGUGAUAUAUGCCUCCAUCAAGGCCAAACCCGUGCGGAAGGUUUGAUUUUACCUUCUACCUAUGUGUAUUUUGCAUCCUCUGUUAAUU